rnacentral:rRNA from 1 species
UGGUGGAGCGAUUUGUCUGGUUAAUUCCGUUAACGAACGAGACCUCAGCCUAUUAAUUAGUUACGCCAAUGUUUCAUUGGUGGCAACUUCUUAGAGGGACUAUCGGAUUUCAUCCGAGGGAAGUAUGAGGCAAUAACA